UCUCUAUCUCUCACCUGACAUAUCUUUAGCAACCAACCAAUCCUUGUAUCUUGUAUUCAAUACUCAUCCCUCCUCUCUCACUAUAAAUAUACACCCCUGCCCUCAUCACUCCUCACAACUUCUCUUCACUAGCUAUAUCUCUCUCUCUUUUCUUUCUUUUUCUGCCAGUGUAUUUAGAUGGCUUUGUUUUGUGUCAUGAACUAGAUCUGGCAGCUGGUUGGCUACUCUGAGCAUCCCAUUAUCCCACUCCUUUAGCGGAUGUUGUUUGUUUGCCGAUCUGCACUGGAUCUCUCUCUCUCUCUCUCUCUCUCUCUCUCUCUCUCCCUCCUCUCUCCCUCUCCCUCUCCCUCCCCCUCCCUCUCUCCCCUUCUCUCCCUCUCUCAUCACUUGAGUUAUGACAUUUGUCCUUAACAUAUUCUCAUAUAAUGUAAACAUGUGGAUCAAAUAUUGUCUUAGUAACCACAAAAUAUCCUUUAUACAAGAAAGAGCUGAUUGUUUGCCACCAAUAAUAUCAUGUGUUGUCUGUCAUCUGUUGUUUCUAUAUGCUCUUUUGUUUUGGACCAAAUAUUUCUUAGAUUUGAUGGUACUCUAUCAGGAUCUUUUAUCAGUAUUCACAUUUGUACCAUUUUGGCUGUUUCAGUAUUUGGGGAUUUCUAUUUUCAAAUUCUUUCCGAUUGUUAAUUUACAGAGUUUUCUUUGACAAGAAUACAUAUAUACUUGGGAUCAUUUAUCGGCCUUUAGGGUUUUGUUUCAUAUUUUGAACAGCUCAUAAGUCAUAAGAUUUGAUCGUGUAAGCCAGCUUUGCUACCAGAUAUAUCUGUAUUUCUUAUGUAUGGUCCUUAUUAACCUGCAGGGUCCAUUGUUUUAAGAAGCGCUUUACUGGGAUUGCUCGUUGAAAUAAAAAGAGGAAAAUUGUAUAUGUAAAAUCUGUAUUUUUGUGCGCACUGCAUGCGCUUGUGAUUGUAAAGCUGGACGAAGGAUUCUAAUAAAACUGUGAUCUGUUUUGUAUAA